rnacentral:rRNA from 1 species
UCAUAUGCUUGUCUCAAAGAUUAAGCCAUGCAUGUCUAAGUACAUACCGCAUUAAGGUGAAAACCGCGAAAGGCUCAUUAAAUCAGUUAUGGUUCCUUAGAUCGUACAAAUCCUACUUGGAUAACUGUGGUAAUUCUAGAGCUAAUACAUGCCGAUAAUGCUCCGACCACUCGCCCGGGACGAGCGCUUUUAUUAGAACAAGACCAAUACGGGCCCCUCGAAACCGCGGUGCAAACCGCGGCGUAGAACCCGUCCAAAACUUGGUGACUCUGGAUAACUUUGAGCUGAUCGCACGGUCCUAGCACCGGCGACGCAUCUUUCAAAUGUCUGACUUAUCAACUGUCGAUGGUAGGUUAUGUGCCUACCAUGGUUAUAACGGGUAACGGAGAAUCAGGGUUCGAUUCCGGAGAGGGAGCCUGAGAAACGGCUACCACAUCCAAGGAAGGCAGCAGGCACGCAAAUUACCCACUCCCGGCACGGGGAGGUAGUGACGAAAAAUAACAAUACGAGACUCUUCCGAGGCCUCGUAAUUGGAAUGAGCACAUUUUAAAACCUUUAGCGAGGAUCUAUUGGAGGGCAAGUCUGGUGCCAGCAGCCGCGGUAAUUCCA